rnacentral:tmRNA from 1 species
GGGGGCGACAGGCUUCGACAGGGGCUUGUUUAGAUCUUUGAAUGCACGUCGGGCUUUUUGUAGGUGAGCUCGUUAACAAAACUUGCAAAACACAAAUGCUAAUCAAGAAUUAGCUCUCGCUGCCUAAUUAACUUUAGCUCCAGCGAUGUCUCGCGGGAAGUUCGCCUGAUGCGACCCGUGGAGGCAUAACUCAGUUCAGGCUCGGGCGCGUUCUCCACCUGCGGACACGUCUUAAAGUAAGCCGGGUUAGCUGCGGACGAGGUCUUGUCGGUUCAUCUGCUUGACCGCGGCGAAAAUUAAGUGAAUCGACUAAACGUGUAGAUUUCACUGGUCGCAACCUUUGGAUGCGGGUUCGAUUCCCGCCGCCUCCACCA